AUGACUACUAGCAUCAAGAAUAUCUUUGCACUUAUAUUCAUUAUCUUGGUCAUCAUGAACUCAGGAGUAACAAGUCAAGAGGUUAUUAUUCGCUCUACAAUCUGCCGUGCACUAGGGUCUUGUCCAAAUAAGGAUGAAACUAGUAAUCCAUAUUGUGAUAGGUUUUGUAGAGAAGGAGGUUAUCCUAAAGGUGGAAAAUGUGAGGGAGACUGGUGUUGCUGCGAAAAAAAUUAA